GCCAGCAGCCAUAUCACCCUGCAGCUCACAGCUGGCAGCCCACUGGAGCUCAGCAGGUGUGAGCCUGGUCAGUACCUGGAUGGGAGACCUCCUGGGAAAAACUAAGGCUCCUGCUGGAA
rnacentral:rRNA from 1 species